rnacentral:rRNA from 1 species
UACGAAGGGGGCGAGCGUUGUUCGGAAUUACUGGGCGUAAAGGGCGCGUAGGCGGCGACUCUAGUCAGAUGUGAAAGUCCUGGGCUUAACCUGGGGACUGCAUUUGAUACUGGGUUGCUUGAAUUCGGGAGAGGAUAGCGGAAUUCCCAGUGUAGAGGUGAAAUUCGUAGAUAUUGGGAGGAACACCAGUGGCGAAGGCGGCUCACUGGACCGGUACUGACGCUGAUGCGCGAAAGCGUGGGGAGCAAACGGG